AGCAGACAAACGAUGCAGGCAGGCAAUGAGACUGAGAUUGGGUCCUCCUGUCAGAACAGCUGGGAUAUGAUGUCCAUCCCCUCUCCUAGGACCCAGGUGGAACUUGAAUACUGAUUCAUCAUACUCACUUUUCAUUUGGAGAGUGAAUUUUGGACUGAAAUAAAGGGAGAUGUUCAGCCUCAGGUGUAGAAGCAGUGAGACAAUUUCCCACCACGGAGGAAGAUGAAGAGCAGGAGAGGAGAGGCUGGCGGCUCCCAGGAGCAGAUCACCUGCCCCCACUGCAAGGCCCCUGUGUGCUCAAUAAACUGACCCUUGCGCAGAGA